rnacentral:rRNA from 1 species
GUGAGGAAUUUUGCGCAAUGGGGGAAACCCUGACGCAGCAACGCCGCGUGAGUGAUGAAGGCCUUCGGGUUGUAAAGCUCUUUUAGUGGGGACGAAAUGCAAGGGCUUAACAUGUCCUUGUGCUGACGGUACCCACAGAAAAAGUUCCGGCUAACUACGUGCCAGCAGCCGCGGUAAUACGUAGGGAGCAAGCGUUGUUCGGAAUUAUUGGGCGUAAAGAGCGCGUAGGCUGUUCUGUAAGUCCGAUGUGAAAUCCCACGGCUUAACCGUGGAACUGCAUUGGAUACUGCAGGGCUGGAGUGUGGGAGAGGAGAGUGGAAUUCCCAGUGUAGAGGUGAAAUUCGUAGAUAUUGGGAGGAACACCGGUGGCGAAGGCGGCUCUCUGGACCACAACUGACGCUGAGGCGCGAAAGCUAGGGGAGCAAACGGGAUUAGAUACCCUUGUAGUCC